rnacentral:lncRNA from 1 species
GGCCGGAGGCGAGAAGCGGGGAGCGGAGGGGGCCGUUGGAGCCGAGUAGCGUACAGAGCGGCGUGUGACGCGGGGACGCCGCGCGCUCCCAACGUCGCCCCGGUUUGACGCACACGGCACCAAACUGUGAGUUUCGGGGGUCUUAUUUUGGUUGGAUUAGCCCGGGCCCCGGCUGCAUUUCGGACGUCCGGGCUGAGGCGGUGGCGGGACUGAGGGUGGCGGAAGAAGUUGUGGGGGAACCCGGCCCGCGGCGCUCGGGCCCGGGGAGCUACGCCCUAGGCUGGCUCCCAACCCUCCGAAAGGACGCGUUUUGCCGCACAGGCUAAGAUGGCGGCGGUUGCCGAGGAGGCGGAGUUGCUGCUGCAGAAGAAGCCCGGGUCGCGGGGUCCGGGAGGCGGCGGUCGCGGGGGGCCGCGGAACCUUAGGUGAGCGGCGGCGGCCG